rnacentral:rRNA from 1 species
UACGAAGGGGGCUAGCGUUGUUCGGAUUUACUGGGCGUAAAGCGCACGUAGGCGGAUCGAUCAGUCAGGGGUGAAAUCCCAGAGCUCAACUCUGGAACUGCCUUUGAUACUGUCGAUCUGGAGUAUGGAAGAGGUGAGUGGAAUUCCGAGUGUAGAGGUGAAAUUCGUAGAUAUUCGGAGGAACACCAGUGGCGAAGGCGGCUCUGGACGGU